rnacentral:tRNA from 1 species
GCCCUUGUCGUCUAGAGGCCAAGGACAUCUCCCUUUCACGGAGGAAACGGGGAUUCGAAUUCCCCCAGGGGUU